UACGGAGGGUGCAAGCGUUGCUCGGAAUCACUGGGCGUAAAGCGCACGUAGGCGGCUUGUUAAGUCAGGGGUGAAAUCCUGGAGCUCAACUCCAGAACUGCCUUUGAUACUGGCGAGCUCGAGUCCGGGAGAGGUGAGUGGAACUGCGAGUGUAGAGGUGAAAUUCGUAGAUAUUCGCAAGAACACCAGUGGCGAAGGCGGCUCACUGGCCCGGUACUGACGCUGAGGUGCGAAAGCGUGGGGAGCAAACAGG
rnacentral:rRNA from 1 species